UACGUACGAGGCGAGCGUUGUCCGGAGUUACUGGGCGUAAAGCGCACGCAGGCGGUCUGCUAAGUUUGGAGUGACAGUUGGUGGCUUAACUGCCAAAGUGCUUCGAAAACUGACAGACUUGAGGGCUUCAGAGGGACACGGAAUUCCGGGUGGAGUGGUGAAAUGCGUAGAGAUCCGGAGGAACACCAAAGGCGAAGGCAGUGUCCUGGGGAGUACCUGACGCUCAGGUGCGAAAGCCAGGGGAGCGAACGGG
rnacentral:rRNA from 1 species